GUAUUGCAUGUGAAAUUGUAUCUAUUUUGUACAUAAAGAAAAGCAAUAAAAUAUGAUUAAACUAAAUUUAAAUGUUGCAAAGAAUGCUAAAAACCAAAAGCUUCUGAUGCAGAGGUGCAAAAAUAAUCAAUUUUCCUCACAAUUCUUAUGCAAUUCAAAUGUUAUCUUUUCACAAUUGACCAUGACAGCUCAGUCUGUUUUUGUAGCUCAGUUAGGCGCCUUUAAAAAGAUAGGAUUGAAAACGUAUUUAUAGAUGCUGUGCCUUCUAAUAUAAUAAACAUUCAGGGUCAUUUUUCAAUGUUAGAUUAUGAACCGGUGUCAUUUUUAAACGUUAAAUUAUGAACCGGGGUCAUUUCUCAACACCUUCAACAGGUGGUUCAAAAUUCAACAAGUGGUUCAAAAAUUCAACGUUGAGAAUUGACCACGUGACCGUUGAAAAUUGACCCCAGGGUCAUUUCUCAACAGGGUCAAAAUUUAAUGUUACACCGGCCGUCUGUCCAUUGGAGGAUUUCCGGAUUUCUGUUGUUUCAUUGGUGGAUUUCAAACAUCGAACCUUACAAAAGUCGGAAUCCAACCAAUGUUGUCACUAUGCAUCCCAAUGUAUACGGUUUAUAACAUUUAAAUAGAAACCAACAUAAAUAACAGUCAGCCCACAAUGAAUUGGUCAGAAAACGUUCCUGACAUGCCUUCUUCGCAAGUAUGCGAACUCUACAAUUAUAGGUAAUAUUUUUAAAUUUUUUAGUUAUAUUAAAUAUUAGAUAGACCUGUUAUAAAAGACGGUAACUUCUAUAAACGUCUUGGCCAAUUUUAAAAUAAGUGCUUUUUAAUAAUUUAAUUUUAGAAUUCUUAAUCUUAGUAUGGGAUUGCCCCAUCUUCCUCCCAUGGCAGAGGUUGUACGUAGAGACUACCCUGUCAUGGGGGAUAUGGUAUGCACAUAAACACAUGUACGGAUGUAACAAUAAGUAAUUAAACAUCAGCUCCCCCUUUUUAAAAAAGGUUAUAAAUGAAGUAUAUGCUCGCCCAUAUGGUCUCUUUCCGGUGGCGAGGGUAAACAAACACACACACACACAAUGUUGUCACUUCGGUCUUGACCUCCAAGUAAUGUACAGUAUAGUAACGUAAAGUGCCUUAAAGUCGUCAUGAUCCCAUUGUCGUCAGUUUUGUGUUCUCGUUUUCUCUCGCUCGCGUUAUCUGAAAGUACCAAAGGCGGCUUAUUUUGAAAGGUAUAAUGAAGAAAUUUGUCCUAAGAAACGUUUAAGUAGUUGGAAUGCAUCAUUACAGUCGCCGGGAGUUAGAUCGACUGGGGUCAUACAAAGUGGAAAUCGAGGCUAACAACGCAUAUGAUCCAACUGCCGUGGCAGUAUAUGAUGGCCAACGUAACGUCGGGAGUCGGAAGCGAGACGGCCGGAAGGUUGUGUAGUUUGGGAUCAGAUUUAUUAGACAUAUUGCUUGUAGGACAUUGACGGCAGAAACUUGAAAUUUAGUGUGGAGUGCUACCUUUAACUUAAUAAAUGUCCCCGAGCCACUAAUAGUGGCGAAUAGGAUGAGAGAAUGUUUUCCAAAGAUGAGGAAGAGAAGUUGCAAGGCACGCUUGGUACCGUAUAAGUACUUUUACUGCAGGAACUUUAUUUCUGCUAUUUCUGCGGUUUAAAACGACACUGCAGAUUUAAACACCGCAGAAAAUUAAGCCUUUCACUAUGUCUACAUGUAUGUCGGAAUAUGUCAACUACCUGUAUUGUAUAAUAACAUUACCAUAUCAGCUUUUGUAGAUGGGAAUUUGUCUUUAUGUAUAUGACUAUCCGUCAUGAAAUAAAAUAUUAGAAAAAAAGUUCAUUACUUGUUCUUUUUGUUUCGAUCAUCCGAAGCUUGGAUUAUUUUAAAAUAAAACUAUUAUAAUAGUUUGACGGUGCAAUAAACAUAACCUUUUGUAUUUGUUCAAUAUAUUGUGUCUACGUGCGAUUUUACCAUUGUUUAUUUUUCACACUUGAUAUUUAUACACAUGCAGUAUUUCAAUUAAUUGUUGUCAUUGCAUGUUGUUAUAAAUUAUACCCGGGUUUCGAGCCUCUGCGGCAGACAACCCGGUACGUGGACUGCUGGGAAAAGGCCACAGGCAAGUUGACUGAUGACAUCACAAGCACCUGCUACCAGAAUUUAGCAGAUUUGCCGGUUGGCAAGAAGAACCAAUAUUUAUAUGCAUUAUAUAGCACUAGAAUAUUUAAAUUCUAAUAACUUUUUUAUUUGUGGAUCGAUUUUUUAGAUUCUUAUAUCAUUUGAAAUUUUUUUACAUUCAUAUUUUUGAAAUGUAAGCGGAUUUUCAUUUUUUGCUUUUAGAAAAGAAUGCUCAGCUAUUUUUUAACUGUUAUUUCAAUAGUUUUCUAGCACCAAGUUUAACUCUUUACCAAGAAAAAAUGAAAGCGUUUUGUAAAUUUAUUUUUUAAUUUUUUUAAAUAUGAGUAAAAUGACCUUUCUAAUGAUAUAAAAUACUAAGCUGUUUCAUAAAAAAUAGGUUUGUUAUUGUAAAUAUAAAAUUACUAUAUCUUAUCAGCAAUUUGUUACUAUUAAUAGAUUUCAUAACAAUAACAUGCAACUUGCCUAUACACUAAAUAGGUUUAAAGGCCCAGUCCUCCCCUUUGGUGCUGCAACGCAGGACCUGGCGGAGGACUGUGGUAUUAAGGAUUCAAACAUUGUUGAGAAGCGGCCCAUGGAGGUUCUGCCGUGGACCCUGACCUUGCCUGAGGUCGACAUCACGUUACAAGAAAAAGUGAACAAAUCUGACCCUAUACAGUAUAUCAAAUAUGUGGUAAAUAGUUAAUUUAACAAUAAACAAGAAAAAUUACACCAACUUAAACUCUCCCAAAAGAUAAAGUUCUUCAUUUAAAAAUGCCACAUCACUAUAAUAAUUAAGAGCAAUCUUUUAGUGAGAUAAUAAAGAAAAUUAAAUCAAAAUUCAUUGAAAAUCAAUGAAGAUAUGGCCAUUUACCUAUGACAUGUAAACUUAAUAUUUAAAUUACUAAAUUUCAAAUAAUACACUGAACAAAAGUUCUAACCGAUCACCCUGAGUUUUCGCUUAUAUAUGAAAAAAGAAUAAUACCAAUAGAUCCUACUUUUAUUUUAUUUCGAAAAGAAUGAACAUAUUGAGAAUAAUAAAAUUAUAACAUUUUCUAUUAAAAUAAUACUUUAUCGAUAUUUAAUUUUUUUAUGAACAGCCACUCACCUGUCUGAUAGAGGCUCCAGCAUUCAACAUUCCAUAAAAAACUUUUUGUAAAGUGAACUUUAAGGCAAAACUGCACAGUUUAGAAGUAUUUUCUUAGGGGGAAGCUGUCUUAAAAGGCAUCUCUUAUAGAGGAAAAAGCUCUGAGUAUGUAGAGUUUGAUUCAUAGUGGGUAUAAUGGUCCAGUGGUUACACUGAGUAUGUAGAGUUUGAUUCAUAGUGGGUAUAAUGGUCCAGUGGUUACACUGAGUAUGUAGAGUUUGAUUCAUAGUGGGUAUAAUGGUCCAGUGGUUACACUCUGAGUAUGUAGAGUUUGAUUCAUAGGGGGUAUAAUGGUCCAGUGGUUACACUCUGAGUAUGUAGAGUUUGAUUCAUAGUGGGUAUAAUGGUCCAGUGGUUACACUGAGUAUGUAGAGUUUGAUUCAUAGUGGGUAUAAUGGUCCAGUGGUUACACUGAGUAUGUAGAGUUUGAUUCAUAGUGGGUAUAAUGGUCCAGUGGUUACACUGAGUAUGUAGAGUUUGAUUCAUAGUGGGUAUAAUGGUCCAGUGGUUACACUGAGUAUGUAGAGUUUGAUUCAUAGUGGGUAUAAUGGUCCAGUGGUUACACUGAGUAUGUAGAGUUUGAUUCAUAGGGGGUAUAAUGGUCCAGUGGUUACACUGAGUAUGUAGAGUUUGAUUCAUAGUGGGUAUAAUGGUCCAGUGGUUACACUGAGUAUGUAGAGUUUGAUUCAUAGUGGGUAUAAUGGUCCAGUGGUUACACUCUGACUACAAAUUCCCAAGUCAUUAGUUUUAGCCCUGGUUUUCCAACUUCAUGUAUAAUUAUAUAUACAUAAGUGUUUUGGAUGAGAUUUUAUACACCACUGUGUGAUGGUGCUUUAUGACUUGCAUGUAAAAACAGAUUUAGAUUUAGUCAGUGACUUUACUAGGUUGACCAAACAGUAAGUAGUUUCAGGCUCAAUGCUUGUGACUCACAUGGCAGGCUAUAAAUGUGGCUUACAACAUCCAUACAAGGGCAUGAUAUCUUAGAUAGGAUUACCGUACUAAACUGUUUAAGAAAAGCCUUGCAACCCAGUCAACUAAUUAUUAACAAAUAGUCGAAGGGAAGUAACUCCAAAAUGUACUAAGAAUACGAAUCGUUAUAAGCUGAACCCUAUUUUAAUAAUAAUCAAGAGCGUUAGCAUUAGUUUGUAAUAUAAAAAUAUUCUUUUUAUAC